GGAGAUUUAUUAAACGAUGAGAAUCUUGGGGCUCCAAUAGGUCAGGUCCUUGUGAUUUGUGGUCACAACAAGAAGCUUGCUAACAAACUAAACUCUAUUUAUUGGAAGAUUCCUGUGCAGGUCAAGGGAUUUGUUACCAAAAUGAAGGAAUGCAUGGGAGCUUAUGAUUGCAUCAUUACAAAGGCAGGCCCAGGGACGAUUGCUGAGGCCAUGAUCGGCCUCCCUAUUAUUUUGAAUGAUUA